AUUGAACGCUGGCGGCAGGCCUAACACAUGCAAGUCGAACGAGUGGCGGACGGGUGAGUAAUGUCUGGGAAACUGCCUGAUGGAGGGGGCUAACUACUGGAAACGGUAGCUAAUACCGCAUACCAUCAGAUGUGCCAAGAUGGGCUUAGCGAGUUGGUGGGGUAACGGCGCACCAAGGCGACGAUCCCUAGCUGGUCUGCGAGGAUGAUCAGCCAAACUGGAACUGAGACACGGUGCAGACUCCUACGGUAGGCAGCAGUGGGGAAUAUGGCACAAUGGGCGAAAGCCUGAUGCAGCCAUGCCGCGUGUAUGAAGAAGGCCUUCGGGUUGUAAAGUACUUGCAGCGGGGAGGCGUUACCCGCAGAGGAAGCACCGGCUAACUCCGUGCCAGCAGCCGCGGUAAUUC
rnacentral:rRNA from 1 species